CUGAGUACGGCGGAACACGUGAAAUUCCGUCGGAAUCCGGGAGGACCAUCUCCCAAGGCUAAAUACUCCCUAGUGACCGAUAGUGAACCAGUACCGUGAGGGAAAGGUGAAAAGCACCCCGGAAGGGGAGUGAAACAGUUCCUGAAACCGUGUGCCUACAAGUAGUUAGAGCCCGUUAAUGGGUGAUAGCGUGCCUUUUGUAGAAUGAACCGGCGAGUUACGAUUUGUUGCAAGGUUAAGCGGAAAAAGCGGAGCCGUAGCGAAAGCGAGUCUGAAUAGGGCGCAUAAGUAACAGGUCGUAGACCCGAAACCAGGUGAUCUACCCAUGUCCAGGAUGAAGGUAAGGUAAUACUUACUGGAGGUCCGAACCCACGCACGUUGAAAAGUGCGGGGAUGAGGUGUGGGUAGCGGAGAAAUUCCAAUCGAACUUGGAGAUAGCUGGUUCUCUCCGAAAUAGCUUUAGGGCUAGCCUCGAGGUAAAGAGUCAUGGAGGUAGAGCACUG
rnacentral:rRNA from 1 species